AACAGAGGAACGGCAGAGGGGUGUUGGGUGUCUCAAGCCCAGUGUGAACAGCUGAAAGGUGUGACUUCACAGAGCUCGCUCCCCUCCCUGUCAGGGCCCUGAUUGGGCCAGACAGGAGGCGCAGGAGAGGCCCCGGGCUCCCUAAAGGACACCAACAGGUGGGAAGUCGCAUUGGAGGGGGCCCGCUCCUGGUAGGGAUAGAAAAGGCCGGUCUGCAUGGCCUGCUGCGGGCACAAUCCACCGGGCCAGAUACCGAGGAGAGCGGAUGAUCGCAAAGAGAGCUGAAGCGGACAGAUGAGUUGAGUGGAUAGAAGGCAAAUGGAGGCUUCAGGGACCUGACCAAAGGUAACCCUGAAGAGGAUCUCCUGCUCUCGUUUCUUUUUCCUCCUCUUGCUCUCUCUUUCUCUGUGUUUGACUGUUUUCCUGCCUCUCUCUUCCUCUGCCUCUUGCAGUCGAAGCAACACGCCUUGCUGUGGCUGGUCAAACGGAACCAAGUCAGGUGUUUCAGUGAGGUUUGGUCCCCUUCAACCAGCUACUGCGUCGUGAAUUCUGUCGGCAGGGAAUCAGAGACACUGUCACAGCUCAUUGUGGACGUUGUAGUCUGAAUAAAUGUGACGUUUAUGUAUUACAGGGUAUUCAGAUUUGUUUUUGCUGCUUCGUUUGAGUUGUCCAAGUAUAGGAGUUUGUGCUUACAAGUCAAAUAAAGGAUCACUAACAAUGUACUUUUCUGACGUCUACACUUUUUCUUUAUUCUUGUCUUAAAAUAAGCCAAUACGGGGUUUUUACGUUCUAAUCACACCUCUCUAAAUAGAAAAUA